AAAGGUAAUCCGGUUCAUAUUCCGGAACUCAGUAUUGCGGAGUCGAUAAAUAAAAUUUCAAAUUUUUCGGGUUCCGCCCGGUCUUUUGUGAUCGCGCGCGCGAAUUCGAAAAAUUUGACGAGGUAACUCAAAUGAUCCUGGAGACGUUAUUAAGAAAUCCAAGAAGAGUUAUCUUUUCUAUAUAAGUGUUAAAAAUUUUUGUUUCGGGUUUCCAUUCGAAUUCUUUCUCGAUUUUAAAUGCACGCGCGCGUGCGCGCGCGCGUAAAAUAUUUUAAUUAAUAUUUUUACACGUGUGCGUGCGGGGUGUGUGUGUGUGAUAGAGAAGAAUUUUUGGAAUCAUUUUCCCGUUAAACCAAAAAUGAAAAAAAAUCCCUGGAAUCCUUUAAAAGGGAGAUAGGGUUUUUGGCACGAAGAGCAUCGCAUUUGUCGCGAUGUUUGGAU
rnacentral:rRNA from 1 species